AAUUAAGCAAGAUUAAAGUAUUGAAGAUUUUAACAAAAUACACAAUAUAAUCUCACUAGGACCCGGUGUCAUGAAUCUGAGCCUCUAGAAUACAGAAUAUCAUCCUAAUACAAGGUAUAUCCAAAGUCCGAUAAUGCGGAACUAAAGAGAUAGGAUAAGAGGGAGAAGAUCAAUGGCUGCGAACGCCGUGCAGCUACCUCGAUACUCCCAGAGGCUGGAUCUGCUGAUCAACUGGAUCUACUGAGCCUGAGACUGCCCUGGAUCUGCACACAAGGUGCAGGGAGUAAAGUGAGUACUCUGAACCAGUAAGUAAUAAAAGUAACUACAGUCCGAAGAUAAUAAAAUCCAGUAAAUACACAAAGUAAGCUAUCCAAAUAUACAGCAACACAUGGAACUGAGCAGCUAAACAACAGUAUAAAUACAAAUACAUGAAUGCAAUGCAAUGCAAAUGAUGGUACAUUCCGGUACCUACUGCGGCGUGCAGCCCGAGCCAUCCAUAUUUAUUUAUCGUCGACGGCGCUCACUAGGGGUGUGUACAGACUCCAGAGGGGCUCCUACAGCCCAAACGCAAUAUCUUGGUCAGUCAUUAUUACCUGACCGGUCAGCCAUUUUUACCUGACCAAUUUAUAUCAUAUAGUGCCGUUGUUACCACUGUUCAAGUAUAUCAUCCAGUGUCAUUGUUACCACUAUUUCAAGUAUAUCACACAGUGUCAUUGUUACCACUGUUUCAAGUAUAUCACACAGUGUCAUUAUUGCCACUAUUUCAAGUAUAUCACACAGUGUCAUUGUUACCACUGUUUCAAGUCACUUUAUAAUCAGUCCAGAAAAUAAUAUAAUAAUCCCCUUGGGCAUUUACAAAAUAGAAGUUCCCAGCCCGGAAUACAUUUAAAAAUAUCAUUUAAGUUUUCAACACUUAGAAUUAUGGAUGAGUUUGCAAAACAGCAUUUAAAACCUUGGACUGAAAUUAAAUGAUAUGCAAAUCAUGCUAAGCAGUAUCAAUCCUCGAAGGAUUUUACAAAUCGGCACAAGGCCCCAAACAUGGCAUCAAGCCUAGUAAUAUCAAUGAAGUAUGUGUAUCAAUCACCAGUAUGGUAUAAACAUCACACGGGAUGGACCAAGUCACAAUCCCUAAUAGUAUUCGACCCCGCACUCGCCAUGGAGUGCGUGUCAUGCCUCAAUAUAGCGUUACGAUGUGAAAGUCCGGGGUUUCAAACCCUCAGAACAACAUUUACAUCUAUUACUCACCUCAAGUUGGCCAAAAGUCUACUCCGCGAUGCCCUUUCCUUUCGAAUCGACCUCCUCCCGCGUCGAAUCUU
rnacentral:lncRNA from 1 species